GACGAACGCUGGCGGCGUGCUUAACACAUGCAAGUCGAACGGAAAGGCCCUGCUUUUGUGGGGUGCUCGAGUGGCGAACGGGUGAGUAACACGUGAGUAACCUGCCCUUGACUUUGGGAUAACUUCAGGAAACUGGGGCUAAUACCGGAUAGGAGCUCCUGCUGCAUGGUGGGGGUUGGAAAGUUUCGGCGGUUGGGGAUGGACUCGCGGCUUAUCAGCUUGUUGGUGGGGUAGUGGCUUACCAAGGCUUUGACGGGUAGCCGGCCUGAGAGGGUGACCGGCCACAUUGGGACUGAGAUACGGCCCAGACUCCGACGGGAGGCAGCAGUGGGGAAUAUUGCACAAGGGGCGGAAGCCUGAUGCAGCAACGCCGCGUGCGGGAUGACGGCCUUCGGGUUGUAAACCGCUUUCGCCUGUGACGAAGCGUGAGUGACGGUAAUGGGUAAAGAAGCACCGGCUAACUACGUG
rnacentral:rRNA from 1 species